GACGAACGCUGGCGGCGUGCUUAACACAUGCAAGUCGAACGGAAAGGCCCUGCUUUUGUGGGGUGCUCGAGUGGCGAACGGGUGAGUAACACGCGAGUAACCUGCCCUUGACUUUGGGAUAACUUCAGGAAACUGGGGCUAAUACCGUAUAGGAGCUCCUGCUGCAUGGUGGGGGUUGGAAAGUUUCGGCGGUUGGGGAUGGACUCGCGGCUUAUCAGCUUGUUGGUGGGGUAGUGGCUUACCAAGGCUUUGACGGGUAGCCGGCCUGAGAGGGUGACCGGCCACAUUGGGACUGAGAUACGGCCCAGACUCCUACGGGAGGCAGCAGUGGGGAAUAUUGCACAAUGGGCGGAAGCCUGAUGAAGCAACGCCGCGUGCGGGAUGACGGCCUUCGGGCUGUAAACCGCUUUCGCCUGUGACGAAGCGUGAGUGACGGUAAUGGGUAAAGAAGCACCGGCUAACUACGUG
rnacentral:rRNA from 1 species